GGGGAUGCAAUGGUUUCGACGGGGAUUGUGAACAACAGUAAGCGAGUAGCGGCUGCGGAACCGCUUUAAAAUCCGCGCGUUUAAAAAUAAACGACAAAGAUAACAAUUCUAACAACGUAAUUUCCUUCAACAGAGGAGUUGCGUUAGCAGCCUAAUAACAGACUGCCGUCCUUACCGGGAGUACCGCGGCUCGGAUAAGGGCGUCACUGAGCGGUGAACGUGAACCGGAGAGCGUCUCGUAUCCGGUCACGGACUAGAGACUACCGAGAUAUAUAGCCUGUCAUUGGGCGCUGUAUCAAGGGAAUCUUAAAACAAUGACUACACUCGUAGAAAGCUUUUGCAAGUGAUCUUCGGACAGGGGUUCGACUCCCCUCAUCUCCACCA
rnacentral:tmRNA from 1 species